rnacentral:rRNA from 1 species
GACGAACGCUGGCGGCGUGCUUAACACAUGCAAGUCGAACGAAGUGGCGAACGGGUGAGUAACGCGUAAUCAACCUGCCCUUCAGAGGGGGACAACAGUUGGAAACGACUGCUAAUACCGCAUACUGAAGGAGGGGAUUGCGUCUGAUUAGCUAGUUGGAGGGGUAACGGCCCACCAAGGCGAUGAUCAGUAGGCGGUCGGGAGGGAUGAACGGCCACAUGGGGACUUGUGCACGGCCCAGACUCCUACGGGAGGCAGCAGUGGGGAAUCAUCCGAAAUGGACGAAAGUCUGACUGAGCAACGCCGCGUGAGUUAUGACGGCCUUCGGGUUUUAAAGCUCUGUUAAUCGGGACGCGGUACCGGAAUAGAAAGCCACGGCUAACUACGUGCCAGCAGCCGCGGUAAUAC